CACGGCUGCCCGGCGUUUUACCUUCCCCGGAAGUCCACCCUGUCCUGCGACCCCAGGUCUACACCACGCGGUUCCCCACGGUGCGGGGCCCCGGGCUCUGGACCUGAACAAGCCGUUGACACUUUCGGCUUUGGUUCUCAGUCCAACUUACCUAGUUUCCCAGCUUCCGCUCACGUCACUCCUCUAGCUCCUCCCACUCAGAACACUUUUCUACGCGGCUUGCACCCUCCGCUUCCGGGUGAGUGGCCCUGCCCCGCGGAGGCCGGGCCCUCCCACUUUGUCUCAGGCUGCCUUCUUCACAGCUCCAGCGGUCGGCUCCUCCAGCCUCCCCACAUGCUUGCUGCCAGCUAGACCAGAACUGGAUCUGGUAGGACUCUGCACCCCGAUAUCUGACCCACCUAACAGGCUGGCCUUGAAAUCACUGAGAUCAGCCUGUUCUGCCUCUGAAAUGCUAGAAUUAAUGGGAUGAUCCACCAUGCCUGGGAUGGUCCACCACGCAGCUCAGAAUUUGGGCUAGUAUCAGGCUGUUCCUUUACCUUGGGUAAUGGUCAGGACAUUACAAGAUGAUUGGUGGUGGCACACAACUUUAACUGCAGCCCUGAGGAGGCAGAGUCUGGCAGAUCUCUGUGACUUCAAGGCCAUCCUGAUCUACUAAGUGUGUCUCAGGAAUUUCAGCACUAGGUAAAAGAUUUGUCAAGUUCAGUGCAGUUGACAAAUUAUCAUCAUCAUCAUCGUCAUUAUCAUCAUCAUCAUUCUCAUCCUCAUCAUUGACACAGUCUAUAUGUAAUUCAUGCUGUCCUGGAACUCACUAUGUAUACUAGGAUGGCCUCAGAUUCACAAAGAUCUUCUUCCUUCUGCCUCCGGAGUGCUGAGAUUAAUGAUGUGCAUCACCUUGCCUGGAAUUGUGUAUUUUUGGAUGUUGAACAAGGGAAGUGUUUUUAUUACAGCUUUUCCCAAGGGCUAGAGAUAUGGCCUAGUAGUUAUCAACACUGGCUGUUCUUUCAGAGCAUUGAGAUUCAAUUCCCAACACACACAUACAGACACACACACACGAAACACAGAAAGUGAAAAGCUUUUCACAUAAUUACAUUUGCAAAAUUUGAUUUUUAACAUAAAUUCUGUCAUACUUUGUGAAAUAUAAAGUUCAUUAAAGGCUUUCCCAUGUUUGCUUUCCUUAUGCUUCUAUUAUGUAUACUGUUGGGUUUUGUAAGUAUGAGGAAUAUUGAAUAAAUGCUAUGUUACAUUAUUUAGAUCAGUAUGUUUCUCUUCAGUAUGAACUCUAUGAUGUGUUCCAAGAUGUGAGGCCUGGGUAAAGGAUUUGUCACACUCCCUACAUUUGCAAGGUUUCUUCCCAGUAUGAACUGUCUGAUGUGUUCUAAGAACUGAGCAUGUAGGAAUAGAUUUACCACGUUCCUUACAUACAUAAGGUCUCUUUCCAGUAUGAACUCUGUGAUGAUGACUUUUCUAAGAUUCUACCAUAAAAUAAAGGAAACUCCUCCCUGAGGAAUAGCUUUUUUGAUACCAGAAUCAGCAUGCACGCUUUCAAAGAAGGAAUCUUACAAACAGUCCUACCUGGGUAUGUAGCUGUAUCCAUCUUGUUCCAUGUCUGCCAGCUACUAUUUUGUUGCUCUAACAUGCCUGCCAGUCAUUGACACAGAGAAGUGACUUGGCUCAAGGACAGGCUGAUCACAUAUCCUGUUUUGUUCUGUAUGUUCUGAAUGUUCUGUAUGAGGUUUGCUAAUCUUAAAGAAAUUCCACAAAGCUUUAUGUAGGACCCAUCAAAUAUAAACUGUAUGUCUAAAACGACUUGAGUCAGAACAUAUUACUAGGCAGCCCUUCCUGCACCUAUGUAUGAGCUCACUGUGGUUUUCUGGUUGACACUGAAGAAUGCUACUAAUAAGCCAAAAUAUAAUACUCGAUCUGUGUUAUCUCAGUUCCCCUGUUCACUACACAUCCACCACCACUUUACCUUACUCAGGACCAAUCAGCUUACAGGUUAGGUGAUAAUAUUUUACCUAGUAAGCCAACUUCCCCCCUCCUUGCCCUUUAAACUUUUGAACUUUUUUCCUAUAAAAAAACCUAAUCUGAGAGCAGACUACUAAAAAAUUAGGCUUCUGAGUCCUUUUGGUGGUCCUGACUGUUCAGUAUCAAGGUGUGCAUUCAACAAACUAUUCUUGCUUAAUUGAGAUCAGUAUUUGUAUGGUUUAAGUGGCAACUCUUGAACUACAACAGUGGCAGGCUCAACUUGGUGGUAACUAUCAGGCUUUCUAGUUGGAUUAAGACACUUUUAACAAAUGGUAAAUGACUUGUCCUGAAAAUCUAGGUACUUCCUCGGUGCUAGUGAAGUGAUGAAUCUUGAAGGAGAAACAACAACUAACACUUUAUUAAAGCCGCGUAAUCCCUAAUAAAUAUCUAAACAUUUUUCCUUGUA